rnacentral:rRNA from 1 species
AGGGUGUAAACGCUGCAGACUUGGUGUUGGGAACCCUUCGGGGGUGCUCAGUGCCGGAGAGAAGUUGUUAAGUCUGCUACUUGGGGAGUACGUCCGCAAGGAUGAAACUUAAAGGAAUUGGCGGGGGAGCACCGCAACGGGAGGAGCGUGCGGUUUAAUUGGAUUCAACACCGUAAAACUCACCAGGGAAGACUGUUACAUGAAAGCCGAGAUGAAGACUCUGCUAGAUUUUCAGAGAGGAGGUGAUGGCGUCAGUGACU